rnacentral:siRNA from 1 species
CCAAGAUGUGGGCACAUUGGUU